GCGGCCCUCAAGAUGGUACACCCCUGUCUAACUUUCGCGACUUACGAUAUUCCUGCGCGGAGCAUAGACAAUCAAGAUGGUACACCCCUGUCUAACUUUCGCGGCUUACGAUAUUCCUGCGCGGAGCAUAGACAAUCAAGAUGGUACACCCCUGUCUAACUUUCGCGGCUUACGAUAUUCCUGCGCGGAGCAUAGACAAUCAAGAUGGUACACCCCUGUCUAACUUUCGCGGCUUACGAUAUUCCUGCGCGGAGCAUAGACAUUCUGAA
rnacentral:lncRNA from 1 species